UACGAAGGGGGCGAGCGUUGUUCGGAAUUACUGGGCGUAAAAGGCGCGCAGGCGGCUCUGAAAGUCAGAUGUGAAAGCCCCGGGCUUAACCUGGGAACUGCAUCCGAUACUGGUCGGCUUGAAUUCGGGAGAGGGAUGCAGAAUUCCAGGUGUAGCGGUGAAAUGCGUAGAUAUCUGGAGGAAUACCGGUGGCGAAGGCGGCAUCCUGGACCGACAUUGACGCUGAACGGCGAAAGCUAGGGGAGCAAACGGG
rnacentral:rRNA from 1 species